UGGGGAUAUUGCACAAUGGGGGAAACCCUGAUGCAGCCAUGCCGCGUGUAUGAAGAAGGCCUUCGGGUUGUAAAGUACUUUCAGUCGUGAGGAAGGGUAUGUAGUUAAUAGCUGCAUGCCUUGACGUUAGCGACAGAAGAAGCACCGGCUAACUCCGUGCCAGCAGCCGCGGUAAUACGGAGGGUGCGAGCGUUAAUCGGAAUUACUGGGCGUAAAGCGCAUGCAGGCGGUCUGUUAAGCAAGAUGUGAAAGCCCGGGGCUCAACCUCGGAACCGCAUUUUGAACUGGCAGACUAGAGUCUUGUAGAGGGGGGUAGAAUUUCAGGUGUAGCGGUGAAAUGCGUAGAGAUCUGAAGGAAUACCGGUGGCGAAGGCGGCCCCCUGGACAAAGACUGACGCUCAGAUGCGAAAGCGUGGGGAGCAAACAGGAUUAGAUACCCUGGUAGUCCACGCCGUAAACGAUGUCUACUUGAAGGUUGUGGCCUUGAGCCGUGGCUUUCGGAGCUAACGCGUUAAGUAGACCGCCUGGGGAGUACGGUCGCAAGAUUAAAACUCAAAUGAAUUGACGGGGGCCCCGCACAAGA
rnacentral:rRNA from 1 species